UACGGAGGGUGCAAGCGUUAUCCGGAUUCACUGGGUUUAAAGGGUGCGUAGGUGGGUUGGUAAGUCAGUGGUGAAAUCUCCGAGCUUAACUUGGAAACUGCCAUUGAUACUAUUAAUCUUGAAUAUUGUGGAGGUCAGCGGAAUAUGUCAUGUAGCGGUGAAAUGCUUAGAGAUGACAUAGAACACCAAAUUGCGAAGGCAGCUGGCUACACAUAUAUUGACACUGAGGAGCGAAAGCCAGGGGAGCAAACGGG
rnacentral:rRNA from 1 species